GAAUGUGAGGGCAAUCUGGCUGCAACAUCUGUCACCCUGUUGAUCAUCAAAGUUAAUUCGGCUGACUUGACUGGCUAGACAGUUGUCCCUGUCCUCAUUCACAGCUCCAGGUGCAUCCCUCCAGAAGCUGCGUGCUUGGUUGAAGAGGAUGGCCUUCCCUGAAUAGAGGACUAGUCUUCAGUCAGGGGUGUAGAGUAGCUGCAUUUCCCUGCUAGAACGUCCAAACAAGCUCUCAACUUUACUGUAUCUAAAGUGAUUCUCUAAUUCUUCUAUAUGUGCUGUUUUUGAACCCCUGUCAUGAAUCCAGAAAUUUUAACAUCUUAU
rnacentral:snRNA from 1 species